GAGUAACAGGUGCUUGAACCCAAAGGAUGGGUGGGAGCUAGGAGGGGCUCUCCUGGCCAUGGGAACGGUGCGUGCAAAGGUCUGGCACGGGGAGUAGGCAGGCGUGCUGGGUCUGAGGAAUUGAAAGGAGGCCAGGUGGUUGGAGCGGGAGCAUGGAACGUGUAUGCUCCUUCACAUGCACGUAGCGCACUUGCGGCUGAAGUGGGCCGGGCCUUGAAGGCCGUGGUGAGGUGCUCUGACGCUGGGUGGACCUGGGAAAUUAAGGAGGGCCGUCUGGUUUAUUAUGGGGAGUAGAAGAUGGUGGAAGUGGAAGACAGCCAGUACAUGCCUUAGGCAGGGGCAGACCAGGGGCCUACAACAUGUACUGGCUGUCAC
rnacentral:lncRNA from 1 species